CCGUGUUCUGUGACUAACUCGACUGGCGCCGGACUGACGGGCGCCCGCCGGUCUGUCACAGAUCACGGGA
rfam:Acyrthosiphon pisum strain LSR1 Contig19136, whole genome shotgun sequence.